CUUCAGGGUCAAAGUGGAUCCUUCUAAGGCAGAGGGACCAGGACUCAGCCGCAGUGGGGUCUUCUGUGAGGCAACAACAGACUUCACUGUGGAUGCACAAAUGAGUUUGCGCUCCAUGUUUUGAGGGUCAUGAGCUUCGCCUGGCGCUAUGGCUGGGCUGAAAUAUGCAGGAAUCUCCUUGUUCCCAAGGAGAUUGGUGAGCACCUUGUUAACAUCGAGAAGAACGGC